rnacentral:tRNA from 6 species
AUUGGGGUGGCAGAGCAUGGUAAAUUGCAAAAGGUCUAAGCCCUUUAAAUCAGAGGUUCAAAUCCUCUCCCCAGUU